UGAUCGGUUACCACUGUUACUGGAGAGGUCGCGGGUUCGAAUCCUGCCCGCCCUACCUGGGGCGGUAGCUCAGUCUGGUAGAGCUCUUUACUUCCGGUUGGCGUUCACAC
rnacentral:Y_RNA from 1 species